rnacentral:lncRNA from 1 species
AGUUAACCUAGCCUUCCCUGAAGGUCCCGGUUAUCUGCUGGGCAACGCACAACACAAUCAAUAUGAAAGAUCCGAAAGUAAUAAAUCGUAAAAGAGUGAAAAGAGAACAAAGAGGUCUUAUUUCCGAAUUCGCGUUUGAGCGUGAACAUUAGGUAAGAUCCUAGGCCACGAGAGCGGUCGGUAUGUUCGCUAGUCUAGCCACCUAAGUUCUAACCUAGUCGAGUCGCAGCUCGAUAGUAAAAACGGAAAAAUACCCAAAUUGCUCUAAGUAUUAAGUUUGCUCUUAGAAUGCUCUUCUCUUCUCUUCGUCCUAGGUCCUCCUUAUAUACUCCUCCU